rnacentral:lncRNA from 1 species
AAAACGGCAGUGAGCUUGAUGUUUAACUGCUCCCAGUUCACUUUCCUAGGCAACUCUAGAAGAAACGUAUCUUUUUUACAUUUUAAUCAUACAUUUUAAAAGGGCAAAAAGGAUCCCUCUGUUCAUGUUCAAGAAGAAUUAACAAGUGUCUCUUCCUCUAGGAAAGGAAUUGAAGGUGAGACGCUACCAUGUGAAGUCAUUGCUGCUAUCAAACCCAGAGGGUUCCAUAGUCUGCUACCACAGCUUGCCGGAAGGAGGUAAUCCAAGUGGUUCUCAAUGGGAAAGAGCCGGAGGGGUGGGAAGAUAUCCAAGGGACAGGAGGGAAGCCAAGUUCCUUCAGACAGCCCAGAGUAGGCUGUGGCCUCCUGAACCUUCUGCUCCACUGUCGCUUACAGCACUGAGAGAGGCAGAAACAUAUGGACGCAUAAGAGCUUGGGCUCUGGUUUGAAUCCUGGAUCCGCCAGCUCUCUGUGCUAUGUAGGCUUCAGCAAGUUAUGUAAGUUUCCUGUUCCUCAACCUUCCGUUAUCCUCAUCUACAAAACGGAGACAGUGAUAACAGUACCCACAUAGUUUUGUUGUGGAAAGCUCUAACAGCGCCUGAUACAGAACAAAUGCUCAAUAUACAUUAACUGCUAUGCAUCAAAUGAGGAAAUCUGGCUCAGACAGAUGUAUUAACUUGCCCGUGGUUACACAGCAAGCAUUAGAGCCAAGACUUGCUUGGGUUUCCUUGCGAUGAUCGGAUCUUGAAGUUUGAUUUGGGUCUGUUUCAUAUCUCCCACACCUCCUGUUAACACGCUCAUGCUUCCCUGUCCCUUCCUGAGCAUAUGGAGUGUAUUUCUAAUGGUUGCUUUAAUGUCCUUGUCUACUAAUUCUAUCAUCUGUGACAUUUCUGGAUCUGUUUCUAUUGAUUGAUUUCUCUCCUCGUUAUAGCUCGUAUUUUCCUGCUUUGCAUGCCUGGUAAUUUUUUACUGGAUGCCAGGCAUUGUGAAUUUCACAUUGCUGAGCACUGAAAUUUUUGGUUUUCCUUUUCAGUAUUUUGGGGUUUUGUUUUAGGAUGAUGUAGUU